rnacentral:rRNA from 1 species
UACGGGGGGGGGGCCAGCGUUGUUCGGAAUUACUGGGCGUAAAGGGCGCGUAGGCGGUUCGUUAAGUCCUGUGUGAAAUCCCCCGGCUCAACUGGGGAACUGCACAGGAAACUAGCGGGCUUGAGUUCGGGAGAGGGAAGCGGAAUUCCGGGUGUAGCGGUGAAAUGCGUAGAUAUCUGGAGGAACACCGGUGGCGAAGGCGGCAUCCUGGACCAACACUGACACUGAGGAGCGAAAGCCAGGGGAGCAAACGGG